UGAUUGGCAUUUUUUGGACGCAUUUAUUUCCUCAAGCCUAACUCUCAAUGUCUCCUUCUCUCUCCACAUAGAGACUUUUCUUCAACUUCUUCCUCAUAUUCAUCGUCGAGGAUGAGAGACUUUCAAGAGCCAACGCUCAAAUAUAUCAUGGUGGAACUGCGGUACUGGAAAUAACCUAUCCCGAACUGUCCAAUUGCUUAUUUAUGCUAGCACAAGCGUAGGUACCAAUGCUCUCUCAAGAUCGAAUAGUUUAUCGCUCUCGCCAUUUUCAGGUCCCUUUUUCUGUUCUCUUCUCUGUUCAUUUGAGUUGUCUGUUUCUAAGGUUUUUUUUUGUCUGUUUUGUUGGUCUUGAUAAGUUAGGGAUUUCUCAAUUGUUUCGUAAUCUGUUGAUGGCUGCUAGGGUUAAAGCAAGGGAGAGAAAAUAAUUUUUCGGUGGAAUUUGAUUAAGAAGAUUUCAUGGAAGAUUUUUAGGUGGUUUUGCUCUAUCUUUAUAGUUGGUUUUGAUUUUUAGGGAUUUUGUUGAGGAUUUUAUUUAUUUCAUAGCAUAGCUUUAUCUUAUUAUGAACUUUAUUUUUUACUUUCCCGAUUUCGGGCAUAUAUAAUUUUCUGGGCUUUGUAGGAAUGUUGUCGUGGGACAAUGAUAGUUGAUUUUCUAAUUUGAGAGGGUUACAUCUGAUGUUUAAAAUAAGAGUUGGUAUUCAUAUGAGAUCAUCAUUUGUGGAUAAUGGACUUCUAUACAACACUUAAUUAAAUGGAUAAUGGACUGCUAUUCAGAUGCUUGCAAACUCAUUAUGUAUUGAACAUGAUGUAAUCAUACUUGAUUCGGUGAAAAGCCGCAACAAAGUUGUUGAAGCGCAACUUCUCCAACUCAUGAAGUAAGUGUUAAAAUAGUAUAUUCUAAUAUAAUUUUGAUUAGCAUUGACUAUAUAUAUAAGAUAGCCCAAGGUCUUCACCUAUUACUCUUAAACUUGUCUCCCUGCUUACUAUUCUUAUGGUGAAAAUUGGUUUCUAACUUAUUUUUUUAUCCAUAUCUAUAAAAUAUAACUAAUAGAUUAUGAUGCAUGCAUAUAAACAUAGAAAAGUAUAGAUGCUUCUUCCUUCAAAUAUUGAAAUUUGAUCUUAUUCUUGACUGUGGUAUGUAGUUCAAUUAUCCCUAUUUUUAAAGAUACAAAUAAUAGUCGUGUGGUAAUUGAUAACAUAAUUAACAACUACUUUGGAAAAUCUCAAUCAAAUAGUGUUAACUGUGUAUGUAGUUAGAAAUGUAAAAUAUGCUACUAGCAUUCUUAUUCUAUUAGAUCAUUUUUAAUGAAACAUCUUUCUCUGUUAUAACAAGUUUAAAUUUAUUAUUUUGUACAUAAACUAAUAGUUUCUUUCAAACUAAACCACCUCCUAAGUAGUUUUGGGAUGACGGUGAUGAUGAGCUCGUGAGUAAUAAAAACUGAAGGCGAUUUUCAGACCUACAAGAAGUAAAACAGAAUUGAGGAUUUGUUAGAGGUGAUCAUAUAUCUAAUGAAGAGCUAAUGAGUCAUUAGUGAAAGUCGCAGCUUCACUAUCUAAAAUUAAGGCUCAACUAUUGACAGAUUUCUGGAAGAAGAUUUCGGCUUUCAGAAGGUUUUAAAACAUCAGAACGAGGGGAAAAGAUGAAAGCAAUGAAGAUUUUACUUUAAAUUGGUUGAUCUUUGCUAGACCGUCCCAUUUCUAGGAAUCAUUUUGUAGAAUAACUCUUUGCAAGUUUAUGUAUGGCAGCUUUAAGACUUGAAUAAAUUUAAUUUUUGUACGUGAAUUAUACUCGAUGGAUAUUUUGGAGUAUGAUAAUGUUAAUAAAUUCCUUUCAUGAUUUAUAUAAAUUAUAUUUGUGUGUAUAUUUUAA